rnacentral:lncRNA from 1 species
GGUGAGUUCAAGAACACACACAGUUCUCUGAAGGACAAGAAUAACACCAUGGCACAUGUUUUCCAGAAUGUGCGCGCACGCGCGCGCACACACACACACACACACACACACACACACACACACACACACACACGAGUACACACAUAAACGUGCACUCACACACACAGACACAGAAACAUGCUACCACCACCACCAAAAAAUAAUAAAUAGAAUGAGCUUAAAAACUUAAAUAAGACGAACCUAAACUUCCUGUUUCCUUUUAGAGAUAAUGGAACCAUUUCAACAUUUCCCAUCCAUAGGUUUCUCUGGGAACACUGGUUGCCCUGGAGUGCAC